AAAAUCCGUCGACUUUCAAAAUCGUGAGGGUUCAA
rnacentral:tRNA from 1 species